rnacentral:tRNA from 1 species
AGGGCCCGCUGCGGCGGUGACUUGGCCGCCGCGCUCAGCGGUCGCACGGCCCGUCGUCCGGCGGACGGGCCGUGCGCGGGCGCAGCGCACCGGGCCCUCCC